UCCUCACUGGCACGCAUGCAUUUUGCCAUCAACACCCCUAUGAGUUAUACGGUCAAGAGUCUUCUUGUCACACGAAGAUGUACAGAGAUGGUAGAAGUGCUGGGGAUGCCUCACACAGACUGUCAGUGAGUUACCUCAGGUGCCUAAUGCUGAACUGUGCUGAGGAUCUGUUGGCUGUGGGGUGGGAACACCAGGCUGGAAGCUGUGGCUGCAGUUGUCUCUUGGGGACCAGGAUACUCCUGUGAGCUGCCUUGAAUAUGAAAAGAUUGAAGAUGCUAAAGUGCCUGCAGAGCUGAGGAGCCAGAGUGGCUCCCAGGGGGACAUGGCUGUGGUGGUGGUAGCAGUGAACAGGGCUCAUGGAUCCAGUUUUUAAUGGCCAGAUAUGGCUGAGACACUUUCAAGACAGCAUAGGUUGAAUUCAGGCAGUUAGUCUCCCAAGUACCCUGGAGGUGGACUUCUCCACAGGGACAUUCAGAACAGACUUGUACUUUCUCUCAAUCUAAAUUCUGUGUAGGCAGUAUAAAGUUAUUACAGUCCUGUCUCUGGGGAAUGAUCUCACUGAAAGUGAAUCCCACAACCUUGUAGUCUUGUUUUGUUAAUAUAGUUAGCAUAAAAUUUUACUAUACGUUAGCCUAAAAGUUACAAUAACACAAUGUUUGCAAGUAGGUUUUUCCUUUGGGUGAUGAACAGGGAUAUGUGUGUGUAACUAACUGUGCUGUGCAUCCAUUCUCCAUGGGAGGGUAUCAGAGAAUGGCCUUCUCAAUUCCAAUAACUAACUAUGGUUAUCAGCAAGUUUUGCACUGGUCCAAGACAGCCGUCACCUCCAGAAAUCAGUGAUUAUUGUGAAGUGCUUUUCUCCUUCCACAGAAUUCCAAUAACUCUUUGGCAGCUUAAUCCAGAUGUAGAUGGGUAAAAUAAACUGUGAUGAACCCCCACCUUGGUGCUUCUGCCUUUGAAAAGGUGUAAUGAGUGAACAGCAGAAACUCUGUGGCAGAGCAUCACUCUAGAAGAACUUUUCCGAGAAAGCUUUGACUGGAAAACUGAAAUGCCUGGUGUCUCCAUCUCUCCGGCUUAAUGUGCUAAAAGCAUUAAAUAUAUGUGUCUUAGCUUUUGCUCUUUUCCCAUAUUUUCCUCCUGGCUAGAUCAGGUGCUGCCUUCCUUGACGUGAUGGCUUUGAUGUAUUGUUAGAGUUAUUUUGCAGAUGACAUGGAGAGCCUGGGGAGCCAAAUCCAGCUGAGCACUACCCUGAGCAGUGGCUUGUCUGAGAGUGACUUCUAUGCCAAUGCAGUGCCUAAGAAGAGGGCAUCAUAUCCCCCAAAAGAGACUCAACAAUGAAUUCUGUGUAUCAGUGAAGGGUUCUUUGAGAGAGUUAAUCAACACAGCUGUGAGGAAUGGAGAGUUCCCUUUCACUGAAAUGGGGCCCACUUCUGAGAGUGUGGCUGACACAAUCUGUUCUGGACAGGAGCUGGAGUCAAAGAUCCCUCUAAGUUCCUUCCAUCUCAGCACAUUCUGUGAAUUUAUUGAGAAGACAUGG